AUGGUGAGGAUACAAGAAAAUAGAACUAAAGCUGAGAAAUUGGAAGGGGCCAUUUGUCCUAAUGUAUUCAAAAAACUGAAACAGAACAUCAAGAGAUCAGGAAAUUGUGAUGUCCUCUGGAAUGGCAAAGAGGGGUUUGAGGUACUUGAACAUGAGAAGUUCAAAUUCACUGUGAACUUGGAUGCAUGGACAUGCUCAUGCAGAUACUGGCAACUUUCUGGCAUGCCAUGUUGUCACGCAAUAAGUGCUAUCUACAAAACUGGCAGGAAAAUAGAUGAUUACAUUGCCAAGUGCUACUCUAUUGAAGUGUACAACAAAAUAUAUUCCCAUUGUUUGGAACCCUUGGAGGGGGAAGAAAGUUGGCCAAGAUCAGAUCGAGUAAAGCCUGCACCUCCAGGGUACAUUAGCUUGCCAGGCAGGGCAAAGACAGAGAGACGAAGAGAGGAGGGAGAAGCACCAAAGGGGAAUAAGAUGAGGAAGAUAGGAGGGACAAUAACAUGCAGUUCAUGCCAUAGGACAGGUCACAACAUGAAAUCUUGCACAAACAAUGGAGCAGGCAAGCACCAGGGCAAUUCACAUAUUGUAAGAGAUGCUGCAAGGAAAAGAAAACAAGACAAAGAUGCAAUGGAGGCAGAAAAUGCGAAGAAAGCAAAUGUACGAUUUAAUACUAGAGUAAAGUGA
rnacentral:rRNA from 1 species